rnacentral:rRNA from 1 species
UACGUAGGGGGCAAGCGUUGUCCGGAAUCAUUGGGCGUAAAGCGCGUGUAGGCGGCCCGGUAAGUCCGCUGUGAAAGUCCAGGGCUCAACCCUGGGAUGCCGGUGGAUACUGUCGGGCUCGAGUCCGGAAGAGGCGAGUGGAAUUCCUGGUGUAGCGGUGAAAUGCGCAGAUAUCAGGAGGAACACCGGUGGCGAAGGCGGCCCUCUGGACGGUGACUGACGCUGAGACGCGAAAGCGUGGGGAGCAAACAGG